rnacentral:lncRNA from 1 species
CCCAGAUUGGCCAUGAGAACCCUGUCACGCCUAGGGCAUCUGCUUGAGGCAGCUUCAGCCGAAGGGCUGGCCAGAGAACUCCAGAUAGCAAGAGGGAUGCAAGAUGCCAGCCUGGACGACACACGUGCCCCAGGUGUGAAAGGGAGACGAUGGGGAUCUGCCAGUGUCGCAUCUCUGCAGCUGCCCCUCUGGGGCUGGUGUUCACCGUCGCGCAUCGGGCCCAGCAUGCCCCCUCACUGCAUCCUCGGCGAUUUCUACGCAUCGCUUUUCAGAGCUGGUCUCCUCAGCCAGGAGGAUGAACGCGUGUGAGGCUUCAAAGCUGACUUUAUUUUAAAGUAUUCCUUUUUUUGUCUAAGUUGAAGAA